rnacentral:tRNA from 1 species
AGGGGAAUAGUGGGGGAAACACCGACACGUGAAUUUGGAAGUCUUGUCCGCACAAACAGUUCCACCGACGCUUCGGCUUGACUGGGGGUCAAGAGGUCGCUGGUUCGAAUCCAGUCGCCCCGA